rnacentral:rRNA from 1 species
CGCAAUGGGCGAAAGCCUGACGGAGCAAUACCGCGUGAGGGAUGACGGCCUAUGGGUUGUAAACCUCUUUUUUCAGGGAGGAAUCAAUGACGUGUACCUGAAGAAUAAGCGUCGGCUAACUCCGUGCCAGCAGCCGCGGUAAGACGGAGGAUGCAAGUGUUAUCCGGAAUCACUGGGCGUAAAGCGUCUGUAGGUGGUUAAAUAAGUCGACUGUUAAAUCUUGAAGCUCAACUUCAAAAUCGCAAUUGAAACUGUUAAACUAGAGUACCGUAGGGGUAAAGGGAACUUCCAGUGGAGCGGUGAAAUGCGUAGAUAUUGGAAAGAACACCAAUGGGGAAGGCACUUUACUGGGCUAUUACUAACACUCAGAGACGAAAGCUA